rnacentral:rRNA from 1 species
AGCCUCAAACCUAGCCCACAUAACCCGCAUGACGCCCACAAACUACUGUAAAAAGCAAAACAUUUUAACAUUUUAGUAUAGGCGAUAGAAAUAUUAUUAAGCGCUUUAGAUAAAGUACCGCAAGGGAAACAUGAAAUAGAAAUGAAAUAACACCUCAGCCGCAAAUAGCAGAGAUACCCCCUCGUACCUUUAGCAUCAUGGUCUAGCCAGUCCACCCGAGCAAAACGAAAAUUUUAGUGCGACCCCCCGAAACUAAGCGAGCUACUUCAAAACAGCCAUAAGAGCCAACCCCUCUCUGUUGCAAAAGAGUGGGAAGAUUUUCAAGUAGAGGUGAUAAGCCUACCGAGCUUAGAGAUAGCUGGUUGUUCAAGAAAAGAGUCUUAGCUCUGCCUUAAGUUUUUUUAUUACACCAAACAAACCCACAAGCUUAAGAGUUAUUCAAAUUAGGUACAGCUUAUUUGAAACAGGACACAACCUCCCCCAUUGGGUAAAGAAGGGCAAUAAAAAUAAAGUGGGCCCAAAAGCAGCCACCUUUAAAAUAGCGUCAAAGCUUAACUAUUACAGCCCGUAAUUACUUAAACACCCCCCAACCCCCUAAUCCCUAUUGAACCGUUUUAUAUUUUUAUAAAAAUGAUUAUGCUAGAACUAGUAACAAGAACUUGCCCUUCUCCUCAUGUAAACAUAAACCAAAACGGACACUCCGUUGGUAAUUAACGUAAAUGCCAAACUAUAAUAACAAACACCAGAAAACCUUAUAGCCCACCAACGUUACCCUAACACCAGAACAUCUCAGGAAAGAUUAAAAGAGAGAGAAGGAACUCGGCAAAUUUUAGCCCCGCCUGUUUACCAAAAACAUCGCCUCCUGACUAAACAUAGGAGGUCCAGCCUGCCCAGUGAUAACAUUCAACGGCCGCGGUAUACUAACCGUGCGAAGGUAGCAUAAUCACUUGUUCUUUAAAUAAGGACUUGUAUCAACGGCACCACGAGGGCUAUACUGUCUCCCCCCUCCAAUCAGUGAAACUGAUCUCCCCGUGAAGAAGCGGGGAUUAAUAUAUAAGACGAGAAGACCCCAUGGAGCUUUAAACCCAAUAUACACCCCUUCGCUCAAGCACCAAUUUAACCUCAAGGAUCUGUAUAUCGGUUUUAGGCUGGGGGGGCCACGGAGUAAAAUUAAACCUCCACAACAAAUGGGCUAAUUACCCUUAUCUACGAUUUACGAAUCUAAGAAUCAUCAAAAUGAUGUUUAAUGACCCGAUAAUUCGAUCAUUGAACCAAGUUACCCUGGGGAUAACAGCGCAAUCCACUUCAAGAGCCCAUAUCGACAAGUGGGUUUACGACCUCGAUGUUGGAUCAGGGUAUCCCAGUGGUGCAACCGCUACUAACGGUUCGUUUGUUCAACGAUUAAAACCCUACGUGAUCUGAGUUCAGACCGGAGUAAUCCAGGUCGGUUUCUAUCUAUAAAGGACCCCUCCUAGUACGAAAGGACCGGAGGGGAAUGGCCAAUGCAUAAACAAGCCGGACCCCCGCAUCAAUGUAACAAUCUUAAUUGAUCAUGACCUCACACACACCCCUAAACUAGGGGAUU